GGUGAAGACUCAUGUCUGUCUCCGUUUUCUUGAUGAUUUGCAACAGCUGCACGUGUUCUGUGACAAUCUGUCUGAGGCUAAGAAGCUGUGCUUGUCUUGCAGGGAUCACUUCUCUACACCACUCAGCUGAUAAAGAAUAAAACAUGAUUCAGAAA